GACGAACGCUGGCGGCGUGCUUAACACAUGCAAGUCGAACGGAAAGGCCCUGCUUUUGUGGGGUGCUCGAGUGGCGAACGGGUGAGUAACACGUGAGUAACCUGCCCUUGACUUUGGGAUAACUUCAGGAAACUGGGGCUAAUACCGGAUAGGAGCUCCUGCUGCAUGGUGGGGGUUGGAAAGUUUCGGCGGUUGGGGAUGGACUCGCGGCUUAUCAGCUUGUUGGUGGGGUAGUGGCUUACCAAGGCUUUGACGGGUAGCCGGCCUGAGAGGGUGACCGGCCACAUGGGGACUGAGAUAGGGCCCAGACGCCUACGGGAGGCAGCAGUGGGGAAUAUUGCACAAUGGGCGGAAGCCUGAUGCAGCAACGCCGCGUGCGUGAUGACGGCCUUCGGGUUGUAAACCGCUUUCGCCUGUGACGAAGCGUGAGUGACGGUGAUGGGUAAAGAAGCACCGGCUAACUACGUG
rnacentral:rRNA from 1 species